rnacentral:rRNA from 1 species
AGUGAACGCUGGCGGCGUGCCUAACACAUGCAAGUCGAACGAUGAUGGAGGAGCUUGCUCUUCCUGAUUAGUGGCGCACGGGUGAGUAAUGCAUAGAUAAUGUGCCCCUUAGUUCGGGAUAGCCACUGGAAACGGUGAUUAAUACCGGAUACUCCUUCUUGUCAUAAGAUAAGUCGGGAAAGUUUUUCGCUAAGGGAUCAGUCUAUGUUCCGUCAGUUAGUUGGUGAGGUAACGGCUCACCAAGACAAUGACGGAUAUCUGGUUUGAGAGGAUGAUCAGACACACUGGAACUGAGACACGGUCCAGACUCCUACGGGAGGCAGCAGUGAGGAAUAUUGCACAAUGGAGGAAACUCUGAUGCAGCAACGUCGCGUGGAGGAUGACGCAUUUCGGUGUGUAAACUCCUUUUAUUAGGGAAGAUUAUGACGGUACCUAAUGAAUAAGCACCGGCUAACUCCGUGCCAGCCGCCGCCGUAA